rnacentral:rRNA from 1 species
AUUGAACGCUGGCGGCAGGCCUAACACAUGCAAGUCGAACGGUAACAGGAAGAAGCUUGCUUCUUUGCUGACGAGUGGCGGACGGGUGAGUAAUGUCUGGGAAACUGCCUGAUGGAGAGGGAUAACUACUGGAAACGGUAGCUAAUACCGCAUAACGUCGCAAGACCAAAGAGGGGGACCUUCGGGCCUCUUGCCAUCGGAUGUGCCCAGAUGGGAUUAGCUAGUAGGUGGGGUAACGGCUCACCUAGGCGACGAUCCCUAGCUGGUCUGAGAGGAUGACCAGCCACACUGGAACUGAGACACGGUCCAGACUCCUACGGGAGGCAGCAGUGGGAAUAUUGCACAAUGGGCGCAAGCCUGAUGCAGCCAUGCCGCGUGUAUGAA